rnacentral:rRNA from 1 species
UACGUAGGGCGCAAGCGUUAUCCGGAAUUAUUGGGCGUAAAAGAGCUCGUAGGCGGUUUUGUCGCGUCUGCCGUGAAAGUCCGGGGCUCAACUCCGGAUCUGCGGUGGGUACGGGCAGACUAGAGUGAUGUAGGGGAGACUGGAAUUCCUGGUGUAGCGGUGAAAUGCGCAGAUAUCAGGAGGAACACCGAUGGCGAAGGCAGGUCUCUGGGCCGAUACUGACGCUGAGGAGCGAAAGCGUGGGGGAGCGAACAGG